rnacentral:tRNA from 1 species
GGCCUGAUGGUCUAGAGGUAUGAUUCUCUCUUAGGGUGGGAGAGGUCCCGGGUUCAAUCCCCGGUUAGGCCCA